rnacentral:lncRNA from 1 species
AUCUCCCCAAUUUCACUGUGGCCUAAGACUUACUGGAGUGAACCUGACCCACAGGCUAGGUGGGAGAACCACCUUCGCAGUCUAUCUUCAGUCCUUUUCCUGCAACCUUGACCAAAACGUCUACUGGGAUGUGAUCACGUAACAAGAGGAAUUAGCUAGGAAACACUGAUGUGAACACUUGGCAAGAAAGAGUCAUGCCUCUUGUGAUGGGAGAAGAGGCCUGAGAGGAGGAAUAGCGUGAUGCCAGCUCAAGACACCACUAAGUCAGCUCUGGGAUGCGAGGAGGAGACGGAAAGGAGAAGAACAAGGACAGACCACCUCUCCCACUCUACCUGUCCACAGCACGACCCCUGGUGCCUUACCAGUGCUCAGUAAUCAUGCACCUCCCGAUCAAANUGAUCCAUCCAGGCCAAACGACUGCCAGAAAGGAUAUUUCCAGCUCAUCCCUGGCUAGGCUCACACUGAUGGUGCAGAUGCCCUUCAGCACGCUUUCCCAGUUCCAGCACGCCCUGUCAACCUGGUGUUCCUGCUCUGGGGCAGGCGUUAAGAACACUGUGCUGUGGUUGAGGACCACCAGGACUGCAAUGGAAGAGGGUUCCAGGUACCUCUUUCUCGUGGCUGUGUGUGGAGGAAAGCAGGUGGAUGUGAAUGUCAGAGAACAGACACGCUGCAAACACAAGGCGAAGGGCAGACCAACGGGGAGCAAAUCCAAUCCAAAGAAUGGCAGAUGA